CAAGGAUUGUCACUCUGACCUGAGAAGAGGCCCCAUAGAGACACGGACAAGGACCAGCCACUGUUGCCAGUGCACAACUGAGGACCCGACCAGCCUGCUGCCAUCUAUGAUACUAUAUAGUACCCGCGGAGCGGUCUGAAGACGUGGAGUACACUGCAGCAGGUAUCACAUGACCAAGGACUUGGACAACGUCUCUGCUUACAUCUAUAGUGUAUUACACAACUGAAGAUGUGCACAGUACGCUGCUGCCUGCAUCCUGCCACCACAGAGGAUCCGAUAUGCAGAACCAGCUUCAAAAACCAUUGCAAUUAUGAAACACAGUUAAUAAAUGCUUAUAUACAGCAGCCCACACAUUUUGUUUAAUUUGUAAUAUUGGUUAACACACUAUUGUUACAACUGUUUAGAUCGGUGUUUCCCAACCAGGGGUACAUGUACCACUAGGGGUACGUGAACACAAUGCAGGUGGUACAUGCAUUGGCAGGUAUCAAUAAAAAGAAAUGUAUGGAGCAUAAUCAUAUUGGGAUAGAGGAAGAUAUACAGUAGACUAGAGCAUGAGGGAGGGGGUACUCAUGGUAUGACAAAAAUGCUUAGGGGGUACAUGAGACAAAAAAAAAAGUUGGGAGACACUGUGUGAUUGAAGUAAUGCAUUUCUUACAAGCUUGGGGAAGAAUGUCCACUCCAUGAUUUGCAAGUUUAAAAAGCAG